rnacentral:rRNA from 1 species
UACGUAGGAGGCAAGCGUUGUCCGGAAUUACUGGGCGUAAAGCGCGUGUAGGUGGUGGGACAAGUCUGCUGUGAAAGCGCCUGGCUUAACCGGGCGAGGUCGGCGGAAACUGUCCGACUAGAGGACGGUAGAGGGGGGUGGAAUUCCCGGUGUAGUGGUGAAAUACGUAGAGAUCGGGAGGAACACCUGUGGCGAAGGCGGCCCCCUGGGCCGGCCCUGACACUGAGACGCGAAGGCGUGGGGAGCGAACGGG